UACGUAGGGUGCGAGCGUUAAUCGGAAUUACUGGGCGUAAAGCGUGCGCAGGCGGUCUGUUAAGACCGAUGUGAAAUCCCCGGGCUUAACCUGGGAACUGCAUUGGUGACUGGCAGGCUUUGAGUGUGGCAGAGGGAGGUAGAAUUCCACGUGUAGCAGUGAAAAUGCGUUAGAGAUGUGGAGGAAUACCGAUGGCGAAGGCAGCCUCCUGGGCCAACACUGACGCUCAUGCACGAAAGCGUGGGGGAGCAAACAGG
rnacentral:rRNA from 1 species